GAAGGAUGAGAAGCUUCGACUAAGGUUCGAUUCGAGCGUUAGCGAGAAAGCGUUGCCGCAGGCAACGACCCGAAGGGCGAAGCGCACCGCGCUGAGUAAUCCUUCCCCCACCACCA
rnacentral:sRNA from 1 species